rnacentral:rRNA from 1 species
CAUACAACUUUCAGCAACGGAUCUCUUGGCUCUCGCAUCGAUGAAGAACGCAGCGAAAUGCGAUAAGUAAUGUGAAUUGCAGAAUUCAGUGAAUCAUCGAAUCUUUGAACGCACCUUGCGCUCCUUGGUAUUCCGAGGAGCAUGCCUGUUUGAGUGUCAUUAAAUUCUCAAC